rnacentral:lncRNA from 1 species
GGCCUGCCGCUAAAUAUCUUAACAACUAACUGCGGGGAGAAAAGAUUCCUGAUAGCUUUUGCCAGUACCUGUGGUGUAAAUAUCCCCGCGGUGGCGGCGAUCAAGUUGCCCAAGGAGCAUCACUGGACCCCGAAUGGGAGGAGAGACAGGCCGUUCUGCCGCCUGCACGCUGGGAGAACCUGCUCCGGCGACCCCUGGAGGCGACUCAGCAGGCCUCUGUGUACUUGCUCUCUCCACGACCAGCCACCUGAGUCCUUGGGUCUAAGACAUGGUAAAAAGUCUAAAACUGGCUUCCCGGAGGCUGGAGGGAAAGAGGGCUAUGGUGCCAACACCAGAUCUCCAACAAAGCCGGGGUCCUGGUAGGAAAGAGGAGAGCUGCACAGAUGCACACGGCCAGGGUCAGCCUUAGAGGCACAGGCAGAGGCGCCUAGGAGCCGAGGUACUCCGUGCUUUUGUACACCGGGAACAGAAGACCUCAAACUCAGAGCCAUAUCACUAGAUAAGAAAAUACAUUGUCAUAUAAGAUGAAUUCCCUCCAGAGAGGGACGGUGAGCUCCUAUACUGGCUCAGUGAUGUCACCAAGGACCCAGGUUCUUUUAUCUUUCGCUGCUACCCUGCAUAUGCUGAUUUUAUCCUCAGGAUCGCUCCCUCAUAGUUACAGAAGGGGUGCCCCAGAUCCGGGCACUUCAUCCAGACACCACAGUCCAGUGGGAGAGGGGCAUCCUCCUCCUGGGUGCCUCUGAGUGAGAAGCCUUUCCCAUCAGUCUCCUCCUUUCAUCCCGCGCCCAGGCGCAUCACCGGCGGGGGAGAGGGCUCACCAGUACUAACUCAUGCCAGGCGGGAUUCUCCCCCGGGGCCGGGGCCAGCUGCUCUGAAGCACGGGCCCUGGAGGAAGCAGAACCCCUGGAAGACAAGCAGACGUCCGUCAGGAGCACGAGGGUCAGUGCUGGGUAGGCAGCCAACGACCUCUGUUCCACCAGGCGUCCGCCAGUUCCAGAGGAUAAUGGGUGCCACCAGAGCUGCACGUAAGUUGACCAGGGACGAGCUACACCUGGGAGACCAAAUCUAAGAGCUGCUUAUUUCAGAUGGUGCCUUGUGUUUGAGGGGAAUCAGCAUUCCAGUCAGGCUCCUAAUCAAAAGCCCUUCACUAUCACUUCUGCUCCAGCACACCCCACGCCCGCUUCCAAAGCAAAACCCCUCCUGCGGCCGGCAAAGCCCUGAUGAUCUGGUCUGUGCUUCGUAGGCUCCUCUGGAAUUCCUGUCCCCUUUUCUGCGUUGACAGUGUUCCUCUCUGCCUUGGAGCCUUUGCACAUGCUGCUCUCCCUCAGCAUCCCCUCUCCCAUCCCCUACCUCCUUCACCUUACUCUUAGGUUAGGUCAUUCCUCUUCUGCAGAUUCCCUUGGCUCCCUACACAUCUCUUUGGUGCCCAUAGGAACGUGUCCAAGUACACGGCUAGACGGCACGCUCCUUGUGGCCCAAGAAGCUGUCUCUUUUAUCAUACACCAUGCUCUCCUCCCAACACAGUGCUUGGCACACAGCAGGCAUUUGAUAAAUAUCUGUUGAAUGCAUGAACAAGACUCCCAACGAAGGAUGGUUUUAACCUUUGGAUAAGGUGGAUGAGGAGUCUGGCCUCCCAGAAGCCCCUGAUGGUUUCUGAGCCCAGAAACAGCAUGAUCACCAUGGGCUCAGGGGCAGAGAGAACACCAGUGUCCACAGGAGGGGUAAGGGGCCAGCAAUUACAAAGACAAGACCGCUUGGAUGGGUGAGGGUCGGGGCUACAGCUCUGAAUGGUGGUGCCGAGAUGGUGCAAAAGAAGGAGGGAAGUUCUGUCUCCUGCACAGGUUGUUAGCAAGAGCGAACGGGAUGCGGUGCCUCAAGAACAACGUCUGGGGCCGAGGGUCCUUAGGAAGGAACUGAGACGAGAGUCUGCACCAGCUUCUAGAAUAAUGUACUGUCCCUGGUCCCCAUCCCAACCCAAUCCUGAAUCAGUCCGCGUUCCCUUCCUCACCCCGGGAGACUGCGGCAGGUGCCUCAGGGCUCUGCUCUCCACCAUGCUUAACCUUCCCGAGCAAUCUGGUUCUUCCAGCUCAGUGGCACUAAUCAUGCCCUCUCACCUAGCUGGCACGAGGGGCAAAUAAGACAACACAUUGUACGAAGCUUUAGAAACUGUGGAGGUCUGUGGCCACGUAAGGAAUUCCUGUCCUUAGUAUUGUUUGGAGUUGGGCUCAUUCCUGGACCUGGCAUCUGCCCUGACAUUCCCCGUUCCCGUGUCUUGCUCAGUCUCCCUUUUCUCAUGGUCAGCCACGAUGCCGGCACUGACGGUAUAAGGCUAUAUAUAAGAAGACACCCAGGGAGAUCGAGUGUAGAAGGAAAAAGAAGGAACGUGGCAACCACCAGCUGCCUCCUCUCUUGUUCCUUGACUCACGGAUGACCUCACCACCCUUCCCGGUCAGCCAGGUCCCAAGCUGGGCAUCAUCUGUGUGUUAGUUAGCUGCUGCUGUGUAACAGACCACCCCUGGGCUAACGGGCUGAAGACAGCAGGUGAUGGUCAUCUCCCAGGGCUCCGAGGGUUCCCUCCGAUAGGUAGUUCUAAUCCGUAGACUCUCAGAGGAUUGCAGCCAGAGGGCCGCAGGGGCUGGAGUCCUCCCGAGGCCUGACCAGGCUGGACAUCCAAGGUCGCUUCCUGCACUCACAGGUCUGGUGCCUGCGUUGCAGUGGCUGGAAUAGCUGCGCAGCCAUGUCUCUCUCUCCGUGCCACCUCUGCACGUCUACCGUGCGCUUUCUCGCAGCAGAGUGGUCUUGGUUUCGAUUUUUCUCCUCACUGCUGGCUCCUCCCAGAAGGACAUGCUGAAGGACCAAGGCCGGGGCGGUAGGGGUGCGCGCGUGUGUGCGUGUGCGUGCGUGAGAUUUAUGGCUGCUUCUGAUCAAGCCCUAGCGGUCAGGAGGCGUGGCUUUGGUUGCGUUUUAUUGGCUGCAGGGCCAGUCCAGAGUGCGUGUGGGAGGGGCGAAGCCAGCGCUGGAUGCGGGGGGCGUGGCUUGAGGGGCAAGUUGCCGUCUUUGGAGCCUGCCCCGGGAGAGCCUGGUCCGGACUGGAGUCUUGCUCCGUGGAGCCCGCUCCCAAGGCUGAGCUUGGGCGCAGGGACGAGGGAGGCAGCAGCGAAGGAAGGAAACUGAGCAGCUAGGACCCGUGGCCCCCACCUUUAGUACUUCAUAUUUACUUAUUUACUGUUUUAGACUUUUGCAAACAGUUAAAUGUAAAUGAAAAAUUCUGAGGCGCACUUGCCAAAAAAGAGACACAGAUGGUCGAUAAGCGAAUGGAAGUACACUGAGCAGCAUCGGUCACUGCGGAAAAGUGCAGGAUGAAGCCACGACGUCGGGUUACCGCUCGGCCCUUGGGAUGACCUAAGUAAGAACAGUGCAUGCGUUCUUGAACCUGGUAGUGUCAGGUGUUCUCAAGCAUGGGACCAACUGGAAUUCACACACAUUGCUGGCGAAAGAGCAAAAUGGUGCAAAUACUUUUGAAAACAGUUUGGUAGUUUCUCAUGAAGUCAAGACGAUGCCAUGAAUCCAGCAAUUUCACUCUCAACUGAAAUUACCCUCGAGAAAGGAAAAGGCACAUCCACACAAAGACCUGUACAUGAAUUUUCCCAGGGGCUUUAUUCGUAAUUUUCCCAGAAGCCCAAAGCAAGGGGGAAAAACCCAAACUCAGGUGUCCAUCUAUGAGGGAUUGAAUAAACUAACUGUAGUACGUCUGUACGAUGGCUGUGAUGAGACAGAGUGAACUGUUGAUACACACAGCUUGAGGGAGGAAUCUCAGAAGUAUUAUGCUGAGUAAGAGAAAACAGCCAAAGAGGCUAAUGCUGUGUGAUUCCACUGUGAUUCUCUGGAAAUGCAAAACGGUAGUGACAGAAAGAUCAGUGGCUGCCAGUGGCUGAUGGGGGAGGAAAGGGGUUGAGUACAAAGGGGCACCAGGGAACUUUGUUGGGGUGACAAAAUGUUAUGGGGUUUUUUUUGUUGUUUUUUUGUUUUGGCUGCGCCUGCAACUUGCAAAAAUGCCCCAGCCAGGGAUCGAAACUUCACCACAGCAGUGACGACGUCAGAUCCUUAACCCACGAGCCACUGGGGAUUUCCCAGAAGUGUUCUGAGACUUGAUUGUGGAGGUAGUUGUCCAACUGCACACGUUUGUCAAAAUUCAUCAAGUUGGAGUUCCCGUCGCGGCGCAGUGGUUAACGAAUCCGACUAGGAACCAUGAGGUUGCGGGUUCGGUCCCUGCCCUUGCUCAGUGGGUUAACGAUCCGGCGUUGCCGUGAGCUGUGGUGUAGGUUGCAGACUCGGCUCGGAUCCCGCGUUGCUGUGGCUCUGGCGUAGGCCGGUGGCUACAGCUCCGAUUGGACCCCUAGCCUGGGAACCUCCAUAUGCCGCGGGAGCGGCCCAAGAAAUAGCAACAACAACAACAACAAAACAACAACAACAAAAAAAAGACAAAAAGACAAAAAAAAAUAAUUCAUCAAGUUGCAAACCUAAAACGUGUGAAUUUUCCUGAACAUAAAUGAGGCAGAAACCUGAGGCUAGAGUUGGAAAAUACAGAGACUCCCCUCUCUCCUGUGUGUCCCCUCUUGCCCAGUCGUCCCCAAGCUCUCCCCCGAGCCUGUCUCCAGUCCCGGUGCGCCUGUGCACUCCACCCCCGCCAGACCCUCCGCCUCCGUGACUCUUGGUGAACAGGCUUUUCCCUCCUCAAGGCCUAGAUGGCUCUUUAUCCUCAGGCUUCCCGCCGAAUUUCACGUUCCCAAAGAGGGCUCUUCUUCCUGUCCCGGCUAAGGGAGGCAUCCUUUGCCUCUGCCGAUGAGGCACGUGCUCUUCCUUCUUUACUGGAAGGAUGCUCUGUGAGGACAAAGACAGUGUUUCGUGCAUCUUGGAUGCAUGCGUGGCACUUAGUUUUUGUCAAGAAGCGAUGAGCAUGGGGAGGCUGUCCCCAUCUUCUUCCAGAGUUCUCUAUUGCACAAAGUGGCUUUUCCAAUAGAAUGCCCCCUGUUUCAUUUUCAUGUAUUUUUAGACUACUCGUUCUGAAUCGAAAUCAUGCGGAAGUACGUAGACUAAAAGGUGGGAGCCUUUCCACACACAGAGCUUUUAAACGUAUAAAUAAGAUUCUGCUUUUUCCUGUUGGUGCAGAGAAAUCGCCCGUAUUCUUUUUAGUAGUUAUAUAAUAUUCUGCAGUAUGGCUAUACCAUUUUAAGCAUUAAUCAUGAACGAGCAUUUAGGAAUUUCCCCUCCCCUCUUUAUGGCUCCAUGACUUCUGAUUUCAAAUGCUGCCUUAUCCAUAGGCGCAUGCGUGUUCGAUGUUGCUGAAGGAUGGAUUCCUAGAAAUUUGGGAUGUUAGGAAAGAGGGUGCAUGCACUUCAGAUGUGGCGAGUCUCUACUCUGUCCGAAGAGAGGCACACGGAUCGGUGGAAUAGGUGCCGUUACCCCGGUCUGUGAGGAGCCCACGUGUCCACACCCUCGACUACUCGGGGCGGGUCGGCCUUUUGGUUUCCACCAGUCAGGUGAUGACAGGUAUGGAAAGUCAUCCUGGCUUAUACUCGGGGUCACUUGAAUUCGGCGUUAACUAAAGCAGCCUGACGUUGCACAUCGGGUGUAACUGCCAAAGAGGAGCACACGUGACCAGAGUGAAGCAUGUCCGUGGGAAAAAGAAAGACGAAAAGCCUCCCUUCCCGGGAGGGGCCAGUGCUGGGCCUCGUUCGAUGAUAACUCUCCCUUGCAGGUGCCCAGGCCACACUGACUCUCUGUGCACGUGCUCGUCUGUUUUCUCUCUCUCUGUGUGUGUGUGUGUUUAAACCUGGAAGGAGUGUGUACCUGACUUGUUUAAUGUUCUUUGUUCUGACAAGAUGUAAAACUGUGCUGAAAACUAUGCUUCUCCAGAGCGGGUUUCUCAGAGUAAUUUGAGACGCUGGCUGUAGUUCUCAGUUUGACUCAAACCAAACGCUUUUCUAUCCUUAUUACUGAUUGUUUUCGUCGACACCGGUUAACGUGCCGACUCAUCACUUAAAUCUACGUUUCUGGCGUCAUUGCUGAGAUUGUACAUAUUUUCGUGUAAUCGUUAGCUUGUGCUGUGAGUUCCUGGUUUUAUCCUUUGCCCCCUUUUUUAGGGCAAAGGGCAUGUUUUUGUCCUAUUAACUUGUGGGAACUCCUUGUGUCUGUAUGAUAUGGAAAUAAUCCGUUUGGAGAGUUAUAAAUAACGUUUGAGGGUGAUGGAUGUGUUCACUCGUGAUUGUGGUGGUGGUUUCGCAGGUGUAUACCUCUGUCAAAACUCAUCAAAUUGUACACUCUAAAUACGUGCGGUUUAUUGUAUGUCAAUCAUAUCUCAAUAAAGCUGUUCAAAAAAGGU